UUUAUAAAGAGUUUGAUCCUGGCUCAGGACGAACGCUGGCGGCGCGCCUAACACAUGCAAGUCGAACGAGCGAGAGGAGGUUUACUUUCUCAAGCGAGUGGCGAACGGGUGAGUAACGCGUGAGGAACCUGCCUCGAAGAGGGGGACAACAGUUGGAAACGACUGCUAAUACCGCAUAAGCCCACGACCCGGCAUCGGGUAGAGGGAAAAGGAGCAAUCCGCUUUGAGAUGGCCUCGCGUCCGAUUAGCUAGUUGGUGAGGUAAUGGCCCACCAAGGCGACGAUCGGUAGCCGGACUGAGAGGUUGAACGGCCACAUUGGGACUGAGACACGGCCCAGACUCCUACGGGAGGCAGCAGUGGGGAAUAUUGCACAAUGGGGGAAACCCUGAUG
rnacentral:rRNA from 1 species